UACGUAGGGUGCAAGCGUUGUUCGGAUUCAUUGGGCGUAAAGGGCGCGUAGGCGGCGGGGUAAGUCGGGUGUGAAAUCUCAGAGCUCAACUCUGAAACUGCAUUCGAUACUGCCGUGCUUGAGGACUGGAGAGGAGACUGGAAUUUACGGUGUAGCGGUGAAAUGCGUAGAUAUCGUAAGGAAGACCAGUGGCGAAGGCGGGUCUCUGGACAGUUCCUGACGCUGAGGCACGAAGGUCAGGGGAGCAAACGGG
rnacentral:rRNA from 1 species